rnacentral:rRNA from 1 species
UACGGGGGGGGCAAGCGUUGUUCGGAAUUACUGGGCGUAAAGGGCUCGUAGGCGGCCAACUAAGUCGGACGUGAAAUCCCCAGGCUCAACCUGGGAACUGCGUCUGAUACUGGAUGGCUUGAAUCCGGGAGAGGGAUGCAGAAUUCCAGGUGUAGCGGUGAAAUGCGUAGAUAUCAGGAGGAACACCGGUGGCGAAGGCGGCUUUCUGGACAGAAACUGACGCUGAUGCGCGAAAGCUAGGGGAGCAAACAGG